GACGAACGCUGGCGGCGUGCUUAACACAUGCAAGUCGAGCGAUGAAGUUCCUUCGGGAAUGGAUUAGCGGCGGACGGGUGAGUAACACGUGGGUAACCUGCCUCAUAGAGGGGAAUAGCCUUCCGAAAGGAAGAUUAAUACCGCAUAAGAUUGUAGUACCGCAUGGUAUAGCAAUUAAAGGAGUAAUUCGCUAUGAGAUGGACCCGCGCCGCAUUAGCUAGUUGGUGAGGUAACGGCUCACCAAGGCGACGAUGCGUAGCCGACCUGAGAGGGUGAUCGGCAACAUUGGGACUGAGACCCGGCCCAGACUCCUACGGGAGGCAGCAGUGGGGAAUAUUGCACAAUGGGGGAAACCCUGAUGCAGCAACGCCGCGUGAGUGAUGACGGUCUUCGGAUUGUAAAGCUCUGUCUUCAGGGACGAUAAUGACGGUACCUGAGGAGGAAGCCACGGCUAACUACGUGCCAGCAGCCGCAGUAA
rnacentral:rRNA from 1 species